UACGGAGGGGGCUAGCGUUGUUCGGAAUUACUGGGCGUAAAGCGCACGUAGGCGGCUUUGUAAGUUAGAGGUGAAAGCCCGGGGCUCAACCCCGGAAUUGCCUUUAAGACUGCAUCGCUUGAAUCAUGGAGAGGUGAGUGGAAUUCCGAGUGUAGAGGUGAAAUUCGUAGAUAUUCGGAAGAACACCAGUGGCGAAGGCGACUCACUGGACAUGUAUUGACGCUGAGGUACGAAAGCGGUGGGAGCAAACAGG
rnacentral:rRNA from 1 species